rnacentral:lncRNA from 1 species
CAAUUUUUACCAGUCUCGGUCAUCUUCUGCAAUUUGUUUUUUUCUUCUUUUUCUUUUCUUUUGGAAACCUUUGUUGUACUGUGGUAUGGCGCAUUAUCUUUGAAAAGACUGCAAACUUUUGGCAUUGUGCAGUUAUAUAUAAUCUUUUUUUUUUGAAAUAGAUGACUUUUGACUUUGUAAUAUUGGCAUAUGAAGCUAUCUCCCCUUCUUAAUGGAGUAGUUGACGUCUACA